CAGAGGGUGCAAGCGUUGCUCGGAAUUAUUGGGGCGUAAAGGGUAGGUAGGUGGUCUCAUUUGUCGGGGGUGAAAGCCUUGGGCUUAACCCGAGAAGUGCCCCCGAAACGGUGAGACUUGAGUCCUGGAGAGGGUCGUGGAAUUCCCGGUGUAGCGGUGAAAUGCGUAGAGAUCGGGAGGAACACCAGAGGCGAAGGCGGCGACCUGGACAGGCACUGACACUCAACUACGAAAGCGUGGGGAGCAAACAGGAUUAGAUACCCUGGUAGUCCACGCUGUAAACGAUGGGUACUAGGUUUGGCGGGCUUUGACUCCUGCUGAACCGGAGCUAACGCGCUAAGUACCCCGCCUGGGAAGUACGGUCGCAAGACUA
rnacentral:rRNA from 1 species